AAUAGAUACCCUGGUAGUCCACGCCGUAAACGAUGAGUGCUAAGUGUUAGGGGGUUUCCGCCCCUUAGUGCUGCAGCUAACGCAUUAAGCACUCCGCCUGGGGAGUACGGUCGCAAGACUGAAACUCAAAGGAAUUGACGGGGGCCCGCACAAGCGGUGGAGCAUGUGGUUUAAUUCGAAGCAACGCGAAGAACCUUACCAGGUCUUGACAUCCCAUUGACCGCUAUGGAGACAUGGCUUUCCCUUCGGGGACAGUGGUGACAGGUGGUGCAUGGUUGUCGUCAGCUCGUGUCGUGAGAUGUUGGGUUAAGUCCCGCAACGAGCGCAACCCUUGUUCUUAGUUGCCAUCAUUUAGUUGGGCACUCUAAGGAGACUGCCGGUGACAAACCGGAGGAAGGUGGGGAUGACGUCAAAUCAUCAUGCCCCUUAUGACCUGGGCUACACACGUGCUACAAUGGACGGUACAAACGGUUGCCAACCCGCGAGGGGGAGCUAAUCCGAUAAAACCGUUCUCAGUUCGGAUUGUAGGCUGCAACUCGCCUAC
rnacentral:rRNA from 1 species